rnacentral:rRNA from 1 species
UACGUAGGGCGCAAGCGUUGUCCGGAAUUAUUGGGCGUAAAGAGCUCGUAGGCGGCUUGUCACGUCGGAUGUGAAAGCCCGGGGCUUAACUCCGGGUCUGCAUUCGAUACGGGCUAGCUAGGGUGUGGUAGGGGAGAUCGGAAUUCCUGGUGUAGCGGUGAAAUGCGCAGAUAUCAGGAGGAACACCGGUGGCGAAGGCGGAUCUCUGGGCCAUUACUGACGCUGAGGAGCGAAAGCGUGGGGAGCGAACAGG